GGUCGCUUAGCUCAGGUUGGUAACCCAUCAACCCCAAGACAUCGACAAAUAACUAACUUAACACCUCACAGUUGGUUAGACGUGGUGCUAAUAACGCCAAGGUCGCGAGUUCGACCCUCGUAGUGACCA
rnacentral:tRNA from 1 species